UACGUAGGGGGCAAGCGUUGUCCGGAAUCAUUGGGCGUAAAGAGCGUGUAGGCGGCCAGACAGGUCUGCUGUGAAAACUCGAGGCUCAACCUCGAGAUGUCGGCGGAAACCUUCUGGCUAGAGUCCGGAAGAGGAGAGUGGAAUUCCCGGUGUAGCGGUGAAAUGCGCAGAUAUCGGGAGGAACACCGGUGGCGAAGGCGGAUCUCUGGGCCUACUUGACGUGACGCUGGAGGAGCGAAAGCGUGGGGAGCGAACAGG
rnacentral:rRNA from 1 species